UACAGAGGUGGCAAGCGUUGUUCGGAAUUACUGGGCGUAAAGGGCGAGUAGGUGGCCAUCUAAGUCAGACGUGAAAUCCCCCGGCUUAACCUGGGAACUGCGUCUGAUACUGGACGGCUUGAGUAUGGGAGAGGAACGUAGAAUUCCAGGUGUAGCGGUGAAAUGCGUAGAUAUCAGGAGGAACACCAAUAGCGAAGGCAGCUCGCUGGGACGUUACUGACACUGAGGCGCGAAAGCGUGGGGAGCGAACAGG
rnacentral:rRNA from 1 species